rnacentral:lncRNA from 1 species
GUUGAUUGAACGGUAUCGUUAUCGUACGGCGUAUUUUCCUUCCUUACAGUUUUCUUCAUAAAAAUUGAUCAUGUGGCCUACAUUUUGCCAAGAUGUCGUCUCUUUUUCCUGUACGUACCGGCUGUACGUUUUGUAAGAAACACUUCAGAACAAAUCAGACAGCCUGGUAAAGUCUGAGCUUCGUCGUUGCUGCCCAAUGUACUUAUGGAUUUGAUGCAGCCAGCUGGUAAAGGGUGUUCCUCUUGCUACCUGUACUCGUUGUGUAUUUCGUCAAAUGAAGAAACAUGAACAACUGAAGUUUAUCGUGUAUGUUCGCGUAGUUGCUGUCCGCUGUGGUACUUUGUUGCAGCCUAUGCUGGUGAUGGAUCUUUCUGCAUCAAAUUCAAUUGGCCGUGCUGUUGUCGUGUUACCGUUAAAUGUUAAGAAGGAAAAAAAAUAUGGGGAUAGUUAUGUCUAGCAAGUAAUAAACAUGUUUUCGGGAUUGGGAAAGGAAAGUGGAAGAUGUUGGAGAGGGGGAUAUUUCAAGUUUGGAUAAAAACAGUUAAUUUUAAGUUUUAACCCUACAAACAUAUCCCUACCAAUUAAUCCCCAAACCCAACAAACUUAUACCUUCCAAUUCUUCACACACAAACACACACCUACCAACCCUAAAUUUAUACCAUAUCCAAAUAAACCAAUGUUAAACCCUAGCAUUGUAAUGUCUGUAAUAAAUAAAACUUUUAAUACAUAAAA